GAUGAACGCUGGCGGCGUGCCUAAUACAUGCAAGUCGAGCGAACGGACGAGAAGCUUGCUUUUCUGAUGUUAGCGGCGGACGGGUGAGUAACACGUGGAUAACCUACCUAUAAGACUGGGAUAACUUCGGGAAACCGUAGCUAAUACCGGAUAAUAUUUUGAACCGCAUGGUUCAAAAGUGAAAGACGGUCUUGCUGUCACUUAUAGAUGGAUCCGCGCUGCAUUAGCUAGUUGGUAAGGUAACGGCUUACCAAGGCAACGAUGCAUAGCCGACCUGAGAGGAUGAUCGGCCACACUGGAACUGAGACACGGUCCAGACUCCUACGGGAGGCAGCAGUAGGGAAUCUUCCGCAAUGGGCGAAAGCCUGACGGAGCAACGCCGCGUGAGUGAUGAAGGUCUUCGGAUCGUAAAACUCUGUUAUUAGGGAAGAACAUAUGUGUAAGUAACUGUGCACAUCUUGACGGUACCUAAUCAGAAAGCCACGGCUAACUACGUG
rnacentral:rRNA from 1 species